rnacentral:tRNA from 1 species
GCCUGGGUGGCACAGCGGUUGAGCAUCUGCCUUCAGCUCAGGGCGUGAUCCCAGCGUUAUGGGAUCGAGCCCCAUAUCAGGCU